AAGUGGUAGCAGCAGCAGCCGGCGCGUGUGAUCCACUUACUUGUCCGACUCUUGUGACAUGUUUGAUCCAAUGAACUCGCUCCCCUUUUCCUGGAGCCUCAGCCUCUGGUGAAACUGGACUUUCAAGUCUGUGCAGGUGAAGGUGUGUGAGAGCGCCCGAGAUGGCAGAACAAGAGCUACAGGUAAUUCUGCUUUUCCGUCCCCCCUCACCACUCUCGCUCGCUCGCCCGCUCGCGCCCUCACCUAGCCGGAAAGGUGGGAUAAGGGGGGGCCCCUCACAUGGGGCCCGAGCUCGGAGGCGGCCGGGCGGCGCGGAGUCCUCCUGGAUCGUGGCAAUGGGCAGACACAGAGCAGAAAGUGGCGGACUUGGGCGGCCACAGGUAACUUUCUCGCAAGGAGCUGAAUUCUUUCACUAAAGGGUACAAGCCCGAGGGACGAGCUGCGCGGUGAUUGGCUGCGGAGCUCCCUCAGGUGAGCUGUCAUUGGCAGAGGCGCGCUCAGGAUCUAAGUUGCUCUGUCUGGGCUCGAACUUGCAAUCCUUCUGCCUCAGCUUCCUGAGAUGCUGGGACAACAGAUGAAUUGUAAAUAAACAUGCAAGUUUCUGCCACAUAGAUCAUGAGACUAUGCUCUUCUCUCUCCAAACAUCUUUAUCCAUAAAUAUUGAAGUAUAGCAUUGAUUCCCAAAAUAUGGUCCCUGGAUGGACCAUCAGCAUCAGAUCAUCUGGGAGCUUGUUAAAAAUGCAGAUUCACCAACUUGACCCAGACCCAUUGAAUCAGAAACUCAAGGAAGUGAGCAGCAGCACGUGUUUCUAAAAAUUCCACCUGUGUAGUAAUGCAUGGUUGAGUUUGAAAAGCACAGCAGUGUGGUAUUCUGACAGGAUGAAGUAGCACAUCCUUGGCCAUUGAAGACCAUCAUCCUCAGGUGGACAUGGAGUUUUCUAGCAAACAAUCAGGAGUGAGAGUUGGGGACAAGAAUGUCAUUCUGAGACGUCUGAGCAGAAGAAUCCAGUUUUAAAGGACUGCAGAUCUAGUCAAACAAGUCUGCCUGCUGCUCAAUGUCCCACUACAUGUUAUACACAGGGCCACUGCCCAGGUGCGUCAUCGAAUCUACCAUGGAGCCAGUGACAAGUGGUAUCUCCUAGUUAUUUUGUGCUAUAAAAACACUAUCUUGUUCAUUCAACUAUUAACCCCAAGAAGGAAUCUUUGGAAGAAUAAGAUAUACCUGGAUGCCUGGAUUUGAAACUGACAAAGGGGUUACAACUCAACCAGCUAUGUGUUAAAUGGCAGUUCCCUUGCAGUGUGGAGCCACUUAUUCAGCCAGCAGCCAGCUGAAGUUUGAAUAUUUCCUUCAGGAAAGUGAAUGUCUCCAUUGCUGGAGGUGACCACUGUGACUCUUCAACCUCAGCCCAAGCCACCAUCCCUCCUCCGUGAUGGCAGGAGCCAGAAACAAAUUCUAGUCAAAUUGAAGCAGGAAGACUUCAGGCUGUGCACAUCAGGGGAAAACCCUCAAGAGUGAGGCAUUGGACCCAUGACAAGGAGAGGAAGCAAAAGGUUGCAGGCUCAUCAGUGAGAUACCGUCUCCUAGCUUCCACCACACAGACAGCUUUUGAGCCAGGACCCACACUGACACCCACUGCCGUAUCUCUCCCCCAAGGUUCUCAAGAGGAUGAGAAAUAAAGGUUGAAGAUGGAGGCCAAAACGUCACCUCUUCCAUUGAGAGGCACCAUUGAGAAUGUGAUUUAAUGGAAGAGCCACUUGGAGCCUGCAGAUUGAAUUCCAGGGUUCCAGCCCCACCCACACUCAGGCCUACAGACUAAACCUUCGGAAGAGCAAACCUGCAGGCAGAUUUUGUUCAAGAGAAUGAAGUUGAAAGCAAGAAGCCAAGCAAACAUACCUGGUUUAUCUUCCCAAAUUUUCAAAUCAGAGCCCUGGAGAUCCAAGAUGGAAUGGAAAGCAUAUGAUCCCAUCCUCAAGAAGGAAGAGAAGAACAGCCAGAGGAGAGAUGCAAGACUAUGGGAAGAUAGUUCUUUCUUUGGGUCAUAAAAUGUCAUCAGGUUGCAAUUGUUCAAAGAUUCCCAAGUGCUUAGUGAGGCCCUGCGGCGGGGGUGGGGCUCCAUCAGGGAAGACUGACUGCCCUGUCCCUGGUAGUUAGGAGUCGGGCAGGAAGAUGCGGUGCUGGGUAAAACCACUCUUCAAGAAAGGAGCGAGUAAGAUAUUGAUGGGUGGAAAGAAGAAAGGAGUGGAGAAGGAGGUCUUGUGGCACAGGGAUUCACAGCAAGGAUUCUGGAGCCAGGUUCAAAAUCUGCCUCCACCGCUGGUUUGCUGUGGGAUCUUGGAAAAGUUAUCUUCGUUUCCUGUGACUUCAUUUCCCUAUCUGUAUAAAAGAGGACUAAUAAAGUUGAUCUCACUGAAUCCAAAAGAACAGGGAUUUAAAUGACUGUUUCUGUAAGGGGCCUAGCACGGAUUAAGACUUUACUAAACACUGGUUCUCCACCCUCCUCCUAGGGAUUAGAGAAAGCAACAUCACUUUGCUUAAAUGCAUAUAAAAAGGUUUCAGGCGGUUUCUUAACAAUGAGGAUCUUUGUUGGUGAAUAUGCAAAUGAAAAA